UGGGGAAUAUUGCACAAUGGGCGCAAGCCUGAUGCAGCCAUGCCGCGUGUAUGAAGAAGGCCUUCGGGUUGUAAAGUACUUUCAGCGGGGAGGAAGGGAGUAAAGUUAAUACCUUUGCUCAUUGACGUUACCCGCAGAAGAAGCACCGGCUAACUCCGUGCCAGCAGCCGCGGUAAUACGGAGGGUGCAAGCGUUAAUCGGAAUUACUGGGCGUAAAGCGCACGCAGGCGGUUUGUUAAGUCAGAUGUGAAAUCCCCGGGCUCAACCUGGGAACUGCAGCUGAUACUGGCAAGCUUGAGUCUCGUAGAGGGGGGUAGAAUUCCAGGUGUGGCGGUGAAAUGCGUAGAGAUCUGGAGGAAUACCGGUGGCGAAGGCGGCCCCCUGGACGAAGACUGACGCUCAGGUGCGAAAGCGUGGGGAGCAAACAGG
rnacentral:rRNA from 1 species